rnacentral:rRNA from 1 species
CCUACGGGUGGCAGCAGUCGAGAAUCAUUCACAAUGGGGGAAACCCUGAUGGUGCGACGCCGCGUGGGGGAAUGAAGGUCUUCGGAUUGUAAACCCCUGUCAUGUGGGAGCAAAUUAAAAAGAUAGUACCACAAGAGGAAGAGACGGCUAACUCUGUGCCAGCAGCCGCGGUAAUACAGAGGUCUCAAGCGUUGUUCGGAAUCACUGGGCGUAAAGCGUGCGUAGGCUGUUGCGUAAGUCGUGUGUGAAAGGCGCGGGCUCAACCCGCGGACGGCACAUGAGACUGCGAGACUUGAGUGAUGGAGGGGGAAGCGGAAUUCGCGGUGUAGCAGUGAAAUGCGUAGAUAUCGAGAGGAACACUCGUGGCGAAGGCGGGUUCCUGGACAUUAACUGACGCUGAGGCACGAAGGCCAGGGGAGCGAAAGGGAUUAGAUACCCUUGUAGUC